rnacentral:rRNA from 1 species
AUGAACGCUGGCGGCGUGCUUAACACCUGCCAGUCGCACGAUGAAGCCCAGCUUGCUGGGUGGAUUAGUGGCGAACGGGUGAGUAACACGUGAGUAACCUGCCCUUAACUCUGGGAUAAGCCUGGGAAACUGGGUCUAAUACCGGAUAGGAGCGCCUACCGCAUGGUGGGUGUUGGAAAGAUUUAUCGGUUUUGGAUGGACUCGCGGCCUAUCAGCUUGUUGGUGAGGUAAUGGCUCACCAAGGCGACGACGGGUAGCCGGCCUGAGAGGGUGACCGGCCACACUGGGACUGAGACACGGCCCAGACUCCUACGGGAGGCAGCAGUGGGGAAUAUUGCACAAUGGGCGAAAGCCUGAUGCAGCGACGCCGCGUGAGGGAUGACGGCCUUCGGGUUGUAAACCUCUUUCAGUAGGGAAGAAGCGAAAGUGACGGUACCUGCAGAAGAAGCACCGGCUAACUACGUG